ACUACGGGAGGCAGCAGUGGGGAAUAUUGGGCAAUGGGCGCAAGCCUGACCCAGCGACGCCGCGUGAGGGAAGACGGUCUUCGGAUUGUAAACCUCUUUCAGCAGGGAAGACACAAGGACGUUACCUGCUGAAGAAGCCACGGCUAAUUACGUGCCAGCAGCGGCGGUAAUAGGUAGGGGGCAGGGGUUAACCGGAAUUACGGGGGGUAAAGGGGGGGUAGGCGGGUUUGCAGGUCAGAUGUGAAAAUUAUGGGCGCAACCCCGAACCUGCCCCUGAAACUACAGAUCUUGAGAGUGGGAGAGGUAAACGGAAUUCCCGGUGUAGCGGUGAAAGGCGUAGAUAUCGGGAGGAACACCAGUGGCGAAGGCGGUUUACUGGACCACAACUGACGCUGAGACACGAAAGCGUGGGGAGCAAACAGGAUUAGAUACCCGUGUAGUC
rnacentral:rRNA from 1 species